UACAGAGGUGGCAAGCGUUGUUCGGAAUUACUGGGCGUAAAGGGCGCGUAGGCGGCCUUCUAAGUCAGACGUGAAAUCCCCCGGCUUAACCUGGGAACUGCGUCUGAUACUGGGAGGCUAGAGUGCGGGAGAGGGAUGCGGAAUUCCAGGUGUAGCGGUGAAAUGCGUAGAUAUCUGGAGGAACACCGGUGGCGAAGGCGGCAUCCUGGACCGACACUGACGCUGAGGCGCGAAAGCUAGGGAGCAAACGGG
rnacentral:rRNA from 1 species